rnacentral:rRNA from 1 species
CCUACGGGUGGCAGCAGUGGGGAAUAUUGCACAAUGGGGGAAACCCUGAUGCAGCGACGCCGCGUGAGUGAAGAAGUAUCUCGGUACGUAAAGCUCUAUCAGCAGGGAAGAAAAUGACGGUACCUGACUAAGAAGCCCCGGCUAACUACGUGCCAGCAGCCGCGGUAAUACGGAGGGGGCAAGCGUUAUCCGGAUUUACUGGGUGUAAAGGGAGCGUAGACGGCAGCACAAGUCUGGAGUGAAAUCCCGGGGCUUAACCCCGGAACUGCUUUUGAAACUGGGCGGCUGGAGUGCAGGAGGGGUAAGCGGAAUUCCUGGUGUAGCUGUGAAAUGCGUAGAUAUUAGGAGGAACACCGGUGGCGAAGGCGGCUAACUGGAAUGUAACUGACGUUGAGGAUCGAAAGCGUGGGGAGCAAACAGGAUUAGAUACCCUUGUAGUC